rnacentral:rRNA from 1 species
GCUACACAUGCAGUCGAGCGCGAAAGGCCUUCGGGCUGAGUAGAGCGGCGGACGGGUGAGUAACGCGUAGGAAUCUACCUGGUAGUGGGGGACAACAUGGUGAAAACCAUGCUAAUACCGCAUACGCCCUAUGGGGGAAAGCGGGGGACCUUCGGGCCUCGCGCUAUCAGAUGAGCCUGCGUAGGAUUAGCUUGUUGGUGAGGUAAAGGCUCACCAAGGCGACGAUCCUUAGCUGGUCUGAGAGGAUGAUCAGCCACACUGGAACUGAGACACGGUCCAGACUCCUACGGGAGGCAGCAGUGGGGAAUAUUGCGCAAUGGGCGAAAGCCUGACGCAGCCAUGCCGCGUGUGUGAAGAAGGCCUUCGGGUUGUAAAGCACUUUCAAUUGGGAGGAAAGGUUGCGUGUUAAUAGCACGUAGCUGUGACGUUACCUUUAGAAGAAGCACCGGCUAACUCCGUGCCAGCAGCCGCGGUAAUACGGAGGGUGCGAGCGUUAAUCGGAAUUACUGGGCGUAAAGCGCGCGUAGGCGGUUUGUUAAGUCGGAUGUGAAAUCCCCGGGCUCAACCUGGGAAUGGCAUUCGAUACUGGCCGACUAGAGUACGAGAGAGGGAGGUAGAAUUCCACGUGUAGCGGUGAAAUGCGUAGAUAUGUGGAGGAAUACCGGUGGCGAAGGCGGCCUCCUGGCUCGAUACUGACGCUGAGGUGCGAAAGCGUGGGUAGCAAACAGGAUUAGAUACCCUGGUAGUCCACGCCGUAAACGAUGUCUACUAGCCGUUGGGAGACUUGAUUUCUUAGUGGCGCAGCUAACGCACUAAG